GUCAGGAUUCUAGACUGGUUGUGGUAACCUGUAUCUGAACUGUUUAAUGGAUAAAGUAUCCUGUGCUAAUUCCCAUGAUGUUUAGGAGAAGGAAAGUUAAGCCUAUUGUUUUCUCAGGCCAAAAGGCUGCAGGAAAUGUAU